rnacentral:lncRNA from 1 species
GCUCUUGCUUUCUCUUGCUUUCUCCUGCUUCCUCACCCUCUUCCCCCUCUCUCUCCGACCCCCCCCCCCCGCCACGUGCUCAUGGCCGGCCUCUACUUUGCGUGUUCUCUCUCUCUCUCUCUCUCUCUCUCUCUCUCUCUCUCUCUCUGCCUUUAUCUCUAGUCCUGAAUAAACUUUAUUCUAUACUAUAAAA